UGGGGAAUUUUGCGCAAUGGGCGAAAGCCUGACGCAGCGACGCCGCGUGGAGGAUGAAGGUCUUCGGAUUGUAAACUCCUUUUGUAGGGAAAGAUAAUGACGGUACCCUGCGAAUAAGCCACGGCAAACUCCGUGCCAGCAGCCGCGGUAAUACGGAGGGUGCGAGCGUUAAUCGGAAUUACUGGGCGUAAAGCGCGCGUAGGCGGCCUGAUAAGUUGGAUGUGAAAGCCCCGGGCUUAACCUGGGAACUGCAUUCAAAACUGUCAGGCUAGAGUAUGGUAGAGGAUAGUGGAAUUUCAGGUGUAGCGGUGAAAUGCGUAGAGAUCUGAAGGAACAUCAGUGGCGAAGGCGGCUAUCUGGACCAAUACUGACGCUGAGGUGCGAAAGCGUGGGGAUCAAACAGGAUUAGAUACCCUGGUAGUCCACGCCGUAAACGAUGUCAACUAGCCGUAGGGGGGCUUGUCCCUUUUGUGGCGCAAGCUAACGCAAGUAAGUUGACCGCCUGGGGAAGUACGGCCGCAAAGGUUAAAAACUUCAAAGGAAAUGACGGGAAGGGCGAAUCGCGCCGCUCCUAC
rnacentral:rRNA from 1 species